UUGUCCUACGGUUGACUCAUAUCUCUCUCCUUCACUGUAAAAUCUCUCUCCCCCCCAGAACCUCUUCAGCUCACCAAGCUAAUAAUCUCCUUUCCAUUUCCUGGCCUCUUCUUUGCCGUCUUUGAUCUUCAAUUUUCUUUGUCCAGAUGCCUCAAAGCCGCGAAAAUGAAGAAAGCUGUGCUGAAAUUGGAUCUGCAUGAAGAGAAAGCUAAGAAGAAAGCCAUGAAGACAGUAUCUAGGCUUCCAGUAUUUGUUCUGUGAUGCCAAACUUGCAGGGGUGCAUUCAAUAUCCAUGGAGAUGAAGGACCAGAAGCUGACAGUGAUAGGGGACAUUGAUCCAGUACACAUAGUUGCCAAACUGAGAAAGCUGUGCUGCACAGAAAUAGUUACAGUAGAACCGGCAAAAGAACCCGAAAAGCAAAAGGAGGAA